AUGAGCGCUGGCGGCGUGCCUAACACAUGCAAGUCGAACGCGAAAGUAAUCUUCGGAUUGUGAGUAGAGUGGCAGACGGGUGAGUAAUGCAUAGAUAAUCUAUCUUAGAGAGGGGGAUAACAUCGCGAAAGCGAUGCUAAUACCGCAUAACAUUUAGGUGAUUAAUUUACCUAAAUCAAAGGGUGGGAUUCUUCGGAACCACUUGCUUUUUGAGGAGUCUAUGUCCUAUUAGUUAGUUGGUGGGGUAAAGGCCUACCAAGACGAUGAUGGGUAGCCGAGCUGAGAGGCUGAUCGGCCACACUGGAACUGAAACACGGUCCAGACUCCUACGGGAGGCAGCAGUGGGGAAUUUUGCGCAAUGGGCGAAAGCCUGACGCAGCGACGCCGCGUGAGGGAAGACGGCCUUCGUGGUUGUAAACCUCUGUCAGAAGGGAUUAAGGUUAUAUGUUUAAUAGAUGUAUAACUUGACUUAACCUUCAGAGGAAGCCCCGGCUAAAUACGUGCCAGCAGCCGCGGUAAUACGUAUGGGGCAAGCGCUACUCGGAUUUAUUGGGCGUAAAGCGAACGUAGGCUGUUUACUCAGUCAGUGGUGAAAUCCCUCGGCUCAACCGAGGAAUAGCCUUUGAUACUGGUAAACUAGAGGACAGGAGAGGAAAGUGGAAUUUCCGGUGUAGCGGUGGAAUGCGUAGAUAUCGGAAGGAACACCAGAGGCGAAGGCGGCUUUCUGGACUGUACCUGACGCUGAGAUUCGAAAGCUAGGGGAGCGAACAGGAUUAGAUNC
rnacentral:rRNA from 1 species